rnacentral:rRNA from 1 species
CCUACGGGAGGCUGCAGUGAGGAAUAUUGGUCAAUGGUCGGGAGACUGAACCAGCCAAGCCGCGUGAGGGAUGAAGGUACAGAGUAUCGUAAACCUCUUUUGUCAGGGAACAAAGGCGGGGACGCGUCCCCGGCUGCGUGUACCUUAAGUAAAAGCAUCGGCUAACCCCGUGCCAGCAGCCGCGGUAAUACGGAGGAUGCGAGCGUUGUCCGGAGUUAUUGGGUUUAAAGGGUGCGUAGGCGGGCUGUUAAGUCAGCGGUAAAAGCCCGGGGCUCAACCCCGGCGAGCCGUGGAAACUGGGGGUCUUGAGAUGUCGAGAGGUAGGCGGAAUGCGCAGUGUAGCGGUGAAAUGCUUAGAUAUUGCGCAGAACUCCGAUUGCGAAGGCAGCAUACCGGCGGGGAUCUGACGCUGAGGCACGAAAGCGUGGGUAUCGAACAGGAUUAGAUACCCGAGUAGUC